rnacentral:lncRNA from 1 species
AGACGUGGAGUGUGUGCGCCAAAGGACGACCAGGGUACAUUGUGUACCUUUCAAGAAGAACGCGGCCCAGUGCUAAAGUUUAUUCAGUGAUACUGUGCUUUUCUCUCUUGCCGGAGGUAGAUAUAUCCUCGUGUUUCCUUGCGCGCGAGAAUCGAGCAGGGGAGGGGAGGGGAACAUUGGAGUGGAGGAAAGGGGGGUGAAAUGCUUUUAUGAGUCAGCUCAGUGUUUUUCUGUGCCGCCUCGGAGCAGAGAAGGAAGAACUGUUACUUCUGUGGCCGGGCCGACGUGCCUCUCUGACUCUGACUGUGAAAACGUGUGCCACUAUCAUCGGUCAUCACCAAAUGGCAAAUGGCUGUAGGGAGACAAACCACAAACAGUAGGAACACUAGCGGUGCUGACGCUGUAAUCUCUCUCGUAACACGAUUUGUUGCAUAAUAUCGACAUCUUUUUCGUCACAUGUAAAGGUUGGUAAGACGAUACUGUUGUGAAUUUUCGCUGUUCGGAUUGGUGCUGACUGCGUUUGUUGAGGUGUGUGUGUGUGUGUUUGUGUGUGUGUGUUGUCAUUCGUCGGAUUCUAUCUUGCUGUUUCGAGCACGGAUAGCGUCUUCUGGAGAUUUCUCCUUGCGGGACUAGAUGGAGAAUAAUCAAGACUUUGACUUGGAGUUACUUGACCAAGAGCUUGACAAGAUAGGAGGAACUGUAAGUACAGAUAUGUUUUUAUCAUUACGUCGUGUUAGUCUGUAUGUGUGUGUGAGAGUGUCUGAGUGUGUGUGUAUGUGUAUGUCGUAUGUGUUUGUUUGUAUGUGUGUGUGUUUGUAUAUAUGUGUGAACCG